UGGUUGGUCUGGUGGAUAAACCUCCCCGCGACCGCGAGGUUUGCCUACUGCUCUCUGUGUCAGAUAUCCACACGUGCCCCGUACGCCGCCAUCGCCAUGGCUCUCCCCCUCGUCCGCCUCCCCCCGCUCCCCGCCGCGCGCCACCCACCGCUGCUCCGCCUCCCCAAGCACUCCGUUCCGCCUCACGGCGGCCGCGUCUCCUUCGCCUGUUCGUCCGGUAGCCGCGCCGCCUUCGCUGCCUGCUGUGCUAGCGCCUCGGUGGCCCCGGCGGCGGAGGCGGAGGCGGUGGUGGAAGAGCCCGAGGGGCCGAGGACGCGGCUCAUCGCGCAGAACAUCCCCUGGGACUGCACGGCGGACGACAUGCGCGCGCUCUUCGGGAAGCACGGCUCUGUCGUCGAUGUCGAGCUCUCGAUGUACAAUUCGACCAGAAACAGAGGAUUGGCGUUUGUAACCAUGGGUUCAGAAGAGGAGGCUCUUUCAGCACUCAACCAUCUAAAUUCGACUACUCUAAAUGAUAGAACAAUUAAGGUAGACUUUACUAGAUCGAGAAAGAAGCAGUAUGUUGUGCCAUCAGCUCCCAUGCCGAAGCACAGCGUUUUUGUGGGUAAUCUGACGUGGAGAGUGAGAUCUCGCCAUCUUCGUGAAUUAUUUGCAUCAACCCCAGGUGUUCAAUCAGUUGAAGUUGUCUUCCAUACCACAAGUCCGAGGCGAUCUGCUGGUUAUGGAUUUGUUUCCUUUUCCUCAAAAGAGGCAGCAGAGGCUGCCAUAUCUACCUUCAAUGGCACGAAAUUGAUGGGAAGAUCCAUUAACGUGAUGUUCAAAGAUGACAAUGCCAAAAAGAAUAAAUCUGCUGCACCAACGGAAGAGGAUCUGAAGGCAGAAUCAUCUGAGCAGAUUGUUAGCUAAGCAUCAAUUGUCAUGGGAACACACCGAGAACUUAAAUGAUUGAGGAUUGCUUAACUGACAUUUUCCCAAUACUGAAUUAUUGGCCACCACUCUCUGCUAAUGGUGAAAGAUUCUUUUUCUCACAAGGUCUCCCAGCUGCUGGUCAGUUUUGCUCAUUCAACGCCUCGUGAGUUCUAUAUUACAGCGUUGUUUAUGCUGUCCACUUGAUAUGGAUGACAUAUGACAUUUGGAGGUCAGCUUUAUGCCAUGAGCACAAAAUAUAUGUAAGCUUUUCUUGACACCCAGGUUAAUUAAUUGUAGAUAGAGAUAAGUCUCAAGGAUCUCAGCCGUAACCCGAUGGAUUUAGCGAUAAUUUGUUUAUUGUGAAAUAUUUGGCUGAAAUGUAUAAAUCACCGGGAUAACUUUAAAGGCUAAAAGCUACUACUGGUAUUGUUUUCAGUCUGUACUUGUCUUCGUUUUUAUGUGACCGGAAGAUUGUA